rnacentral:rRNA from 1 species
AUUGAACGCUGGCGGCAGGCCUAACACAUGCAAGUCGAGCGGAUGACGGGAGCUUGCUCCCUGAUUCAGCGGCGGACGGGUGAGUAAUGCCUAGGAAUCUGCCUGGUAGUGGGGGACAACGUUUCGAAAGGAGCGCUAAUACCGCAUACGUCCUACGGGAGAAAGCAGGGGACCUUCGGGCCUUGCGCUAUCAGAUGAGCCUAGGUCGGAUUAGCUAGUUGGUGAGGUAAUGGCUCACCAAGGCGACGAUCCGUAACUGGUCUGAGAGGAUGAUCAGUCACACUGGAACUGAGACACGGUCCAGACUCCUACGGGAGGCAGCAGUGGGGAAUAUUGGACAAUGGGCGAAAGCCUGAUCCAGCCAUGCCGCGUGUGUGAAGAAGGUCUUCGGAUUGUAAAGCACUUUAAGUUGGGAGGAAGGGCAGUAAGUUAAUACCUUGCUGUUUUGACGUUACCGACAGAAUAAGCACCGGCUAACUCUGUGCCAGCCGCCGCGGUAAAAC